UAUAAAAAAAUAGUCUGGUAAGAAAAAUAGAGCGUUAGCGAUCAUCUGUUAUCGGAACUAGCAAUAUGGAUCCUAACUCAUUAGCUCUUAAGCUAGCCAACUUGUAUAGGUGUUUCAGUACUAAUUCCCAUUUGAGAGAGAAUUUAAACUUGUUUGUUGAAUUAAUCCAACACAUUGACGCUGAAGCAAUAGUCCAUUGCAUUGAUAUAUUACACCCUAUGUUCCUAAACACGUUGAAUGAUUCCCUGGUUAAUCUAGACGUGAAGAUCACUGCCCUGACGGCGAUGAGUAACUUCAUUCAACAGGUGGGGAGUUCAAAAGAUAGGGAGAGGUUUCAGGAUCUGUUGCCUGCGAUGAUGGACAUGCUGAAUAAGGCAUUGGAAGAAAAUUGGGAGGCAUCAGCUCAGUCUGAGUUGGAGAUUUUGAUUGAGUUGGCCAAGAAUGAGCCUAGUUUCUUCAGGGUGCAGCUUGUGGUUGUGGUGGGUUCCAUGUUUGAUAUAGCUGAAUGUGAGAGUUAUGAAAAGAAAACGAGACAUUUGGCGGUUGAAUUCGUGAUGACAUUGGUUGAGGCCAGGGAGAAGACCCCUGGCAUGAUCAAGAAGUAUCCAUUGUUUACUGAAAAAUAUAUUGCAAUUUUAUUGAAUUUGUUAGAGCAUGAGGUUUAUUACCCUCUCUUGCCUGAUCCUUAUGAUAGAUGGGAUAUAAAUGAUGAUUUGCCUUUUCUUAAGAAGUGUUUAUGGCGGUUGUCCCAUGCGCUGGGUGGUAAGACUGUUGGUCCUGUUGCCUUUGAGCAGGUCCGUGCUUACUUGGCUGACGACUCGUGGCAGAAGCCAUGCGCAGCACUCUAUGCACUUGCUCAGAUUGUUGAAGGCUGCUCAGAGGUGUGUAUUUAUUGAUACACUACUAAGAAUUGCAUUUAAACUGAUUAGUUAACGAUCUUGGGAUAGCAGAAGGUCACCUUGAUUAUACUUUCUUCUGUUAUUCUCUAGACUAAGUACUUUGCUUGCUCUCAUCUCUUCUUCAUUAUAAUAGGUGAUGAUUAAGAAUAUGAAUCUAGUGGUGACAAUGGUUCUGGAUUGUAUGGGACAUCCUCAUCCUGGAGUCAGAUUCACCUCCAUGGAAGCAGUUCGCGAGUUUUUGAGUUUCAUGUGUCCCCAUUUUCAAGAACAAUAUCAUCAGCAAGUAGUGCCGGCAUUAAUUAAAGCUAUGGAUGAUGACAGUGUACAAGUGCAGGUCUGUUUGUCCUACGAUGAUAUGAAUUCCUUUGGAUGCUAGUAUCAUUUGUCCCAAAUUACAGUUGCAAAAUUUUCUUACUGAACCUUCUCAAUGGCCUUAACUUUAACUUUAUUAGAUAUAAUCCCUGCUCUAACUUUACUAUCUUCAUAUUUUCCUAGGUCAGCGUCAUAUGCGCGGUCACGGGCUUCCUUCGCGAUGACACACCUAAAUAUUUGACACUUUACAUCCAUGGAUUACUCGAUAAAUUGUUUCAACUGUCAUUACAUACUGUUGCGCUAGUACGUAUUGUAGACUAAGUGCAAGAGAAAUCAGAUCAUUUUCUUGAACAAUGAACAGACAAUAUUACGAAUACAUCAAGGGAAACAACCAUAAUUUCCAAGUUCCCAAUAUAAUUAUCCCGCCCUCCUUUAUAAAUUCAAAGUUUGUUACUCCCUUGAAUGUCCUUGAGGUCUUUACUUGCCUGAUUUAUUUUUAUUUUUGACAUGAAAGGUCCAAGAAUCAGCGUCAGCUGUACUCCAAUUUUUGGCUGACCAUUUUAAGGUAUUACCUAGUAAUUCUGCUUCAACUUUUAUUAAGAGUAUGUUGUAUUAAGCUGGUUAUAUAUAUAUAUAUAUAUAUAUUAAUAUUAACAUUACUUCAGCAAGAGUGCUAUGGGAACAACUACGAAUCUAUUCUACCACUUUUUAAAGCUAUCCUGGUACAAGCAAAUUUUCCAAGUAAAGAUGUAGAGAUGAUGAUGUCAUUCCUCAAACCUGGCCGUUCGUUACUUCCAAAACAGGUCUUCCACUAGUUAUACCAAAUGGAUUCUAUACAUCUCACUCAACUUAGAGCUUAUUGUUUAUUCGUUUUCUAUUUUUCUGUUGUUGACAUAAUGUCACUAUAAGAUUAUGGAAGCAGUUAUGUCAUUACAAGGAUCACAAGAGUUUGAUGAGGAUACAAAUACCAUCUUCAAGCUAGAGGUAUGUGUUGUUGAGAAUAUCGUUAACUAAUAAAAUGGUGUUCUCUCUAAUAGCUUAAGCUUUUAGAUGAGAUGGUCACACACUUCAACAUGUUAUCAGAACAGGCAGAGGCCCUGGGAUCAAAUCUCUUCGCCACCCAAAUUAAAAAGAAUUUCCACGUGCUAAUCAGUCAGAAAUUCUUUCAAGAUUGGUCUCUCUAUAUUUCUUGAUCUCAUUGCAGGCUAUUGGUGGAUUUUGUAAGGCCAUAGGGAAAGGUUUUCUUCCUUGCACCAGCAUUGUCAUGCCCCUUUUGUUGCAAUGUGCUCAACUCGAACCUGAUAAAAUCAUAUUAUCUCCAGAUUCAGACCAUACUUGUUUAGAUGAUAAUACGUACGCCUUUUUGUCAUGACGUUUCGCCUUUUUGUCAGAUCAUUGCUCUGAGUGAUUGCCUUUUUAUGUACAUUAUAACAUCUUGCAGUAUACACAGAGUCAAGGUUGGCGAUUCAACGAUAUGUAUAAAAAAAAGUUCCCUAAAGAAGAAAGCUAAAGCAUGUGAAGUCCUAGUCAUUGUUGCUAACAAAUUGAACAAAGACUUUUACCCAUGGAUUUUCCAGGUUGUCACACUUGGACUUCUCUCUUUUUCUACCCGUGCUUUUGAUCGCGAACUGAAAAUUUAACAAGUGGUUUCAAUGGCCUAAUGCUUGAUAAAUGAUACAGACUGCUUCAAUUUUAUUUCCACUUUUGAAAUUCCAUUUCAAUGAGGUCAGGUUCCAUACAGUUGAAGGUGAGAUUUCUCAGGAUUUCACAUAGUUAAUUUCUCCGUCUUUUAUAACUAUCUGAUCACCGCCAAGACUUUUUAAUUUGUAAUGUUUAUAGCGAUGAAGCACCUUUUGCAAUCUGCUAAACUGGCUGAUGAGAAAGGGAUUGCUCGAGGUGAAAGCCAUUCGGAUUUCAAGCAGUUUUCGGACAGUAUAAUACUGAAUUUGGUGGAAGCUUUGCAUGAGGUUUACUUUUAACAUUAAGCUUCUUCUAUUUGGAUAAUGAGAAAGUAACACUUUGAUUUCUAUAUAAUGCAGGAGCCUAAAACACUGCUUAUUUGUUUUGAAACAGAGAUAUAUGUAGAAAUGUUGAAUACAUUACAUGUGUGCCUUCAGGUUCGUGAUCUUUAAACACUGCUUAUUUGUUUUGAUCCAAAGUUUUCAGUGUUUCACUAUGAGCUAGGUAUGAAGUUUUUGGAACUGUUGCCUUUAAGUCUAUUGCUUAAAAUGUUCCAUUAGUAUCAUCGAAGUGAGAAACUAGCAAUGGUGACAAAAAUCGAGUUAGAAUGGCAAAAUAGGAAUUUUCAGGUUGUAUAUGGUCCUUGUGUUUCUUCUUUCAGAUAUGUGGACCACUUCUCAAUGAAGAUCAGCUUCGUCCGAUCGUGGAUGAGAUAAAGCAUGUCAUUACAGAGAGUUCAAAUAGCCAAGGAAAACUCACAGAGAGAGAAAAAACAGAAGAUUUUGAUGCUGAGGAAGCUGAAUUGCUGAGAGGGGAAAAACAUCGACAAGAUCAAAUAUUUAAACUUGUAUGUUCUAUAUUAAAACAGUGAUUCACUGUUGUCUUUAUAUAUUCAAGAAUUUUCACUUUGGUUCUGCUGUUAUUCUUGAACACAGGCUGGUCUCAUAUUAUGUAGACUGAUCGAAACAUUCAAGGUUGUUUUCUUGCCUUACUUUGACGAGUUAUCAUUAUAUCUGAUUCCGAUGUGGGUAAGUUCAUUGACACUAUUGUAACAUGAUGUUAGUUUAUCAUUAUUCAUAUCUAGUAUAUCUUAUUGUUUCCGAUUUUUGUUAAGGACAAAGAAAUGACAAUUCAAGAGAGAUGUACAUCACUUUAUAUCUUUGAUGGUCUUGUGAAGCAUUGCUCUGAAGCAGCUCUAAAGUGAGUUUAAUUUAUCUGUAUGAGUUUUCUUAAAUUAUUGGGGUGUCACCAUUUUGAUAAAUCACUUACUUCCUAUGCCAACUAGGUACUGUGAUGUAUUUCUACCUUUGCUUCUGAAAUCAAGCAACGACGAAAACCCAGCAGUUAGACAGGUUUGGAUCAUCGUGAUUGCUUACAUUCCUGUUACUCAAGUUGGUUGCUCACAGUAUGGUUUAACCAAAACACCAAUGACUUCAUGUUCAGAAUGCUCUAUAUGGACUUGGGCUUUAUGCAGAAUAUCAUGGUUCUGUUUUCAAACCUUUUGUUAGAGGUAUUAAUAUUAUUGAAUGUGAUACUUCUAAUCAAGCAAGUGUUUUUGUUAACUUACGCGUUUAUGUUCAGAGGCUAUGUCACGGAUCAAUGUAGUGAUAAUGCAUUUACGUGCUCGUGAACCUGAGAAUGAACUUGCAUAUGAUAAUGCUGUUUCUACCCUUGGUAAAAUAUUUCAGUUUCAUCGAGAACUUAUCGACUCAGCCCAGGUUUGUCCUUCUCAGAAUCCCUAAUGUUAAGUCUUGUUAUAAUUUCUGAUUCUGAAUCCUUGUGUAGGUCAUUCCCAUUUGGUUGAAUUGCCUGCCUAUAAAAGGUGACCUUCCUGAAGCCAAAUAUGUUCAUGGUCAACUAUGUUCCAUGGUUGAAAGGUAUUGGAUUUGUUUGCAAACUCUAAUAUGUCAUAUCUUCAUAGUCUUUAAAAUGUUUUAUAUCAAAUUUUUUCACUUGCAGGUCAGACAGAGAACUUUUAGGUCCCAAAUAUGAACACUUUCCAAAAAUUAUGUCAGUUUUUGCAGAGGUUAGUUCCAUAUCAGACUCUACAGAUGCCAGUUUGAGUUGUUCAUUUGUUCCUGAUAGAUAUUUAAGGAGAGAAGUAUUGGAAAUAUUCCUAAACUAGGUGUGAAUUAUUAGUUUUAUCUUCGAACUAUUGACAACCUUAAAAACACUUAUUUACUUGACUAACACCCAUGAUCUUGCAAUAUGAGUGAAAUACACUCCUAAAUUCUCUCAAGUUUAUGGGUGCUUUGAACACUUCUCUCGACUUUUUAUUAAGAGUUUCAUGUCUUUACAAGAGUGUAUGCAAUGUGGCAGAUCAGAUAUGUAUCUAAGUUUAAGCUAGUCAAGUAGAUGGGUGUUUUUAAAACUGUCACUAAUUUGGAGACGAAACUAAUAAUUUGUGCCAAGUUUAAGGAUGUUUUCAACACUUGUCUCGUAUUUAAUCAAUCAUGAGACAUUUUUGGACCAAACUAUUGACCUAAAGAUAUUUUUAUUCGAUGUUGUAUAGUUAAUUUAGUUUUGCUUUUUAAGGUUUUACGUGGUGGAAAACAUCUUGCUACAGAAGAAACAGCAAAGUGUAUGAUUAAUCUGUUGAGGAAACUUGAGAAAGAAGUAGCACCAGACACCUUGAUAUCUGCAUGGUCAUUACUAUUGCCUAAGCAGGAGAUGGAACUGAAAUCCAUUCUAUUUCCUGGCAUACUUAUAAACCACAAAACAUUUUUUGUGCUUGGCAGUAAUUUCUCAAUUGUCAAAUUUCUUGAGGAAGAACUCCAGAAAAAUAUUACUAAUGUUCGACGAAUGUGACUUAUAAACCGUGUAUUGUAUCUUUAAUUUAGUUUUGUUACAGAAUAAUGUAUAGAUGAUACUAUAGUUGAUUUGUGGGAAUUUGAAUAUUUAAUUACCAUAAUUAGACUAUUCUCACUUAUUUAUAUCUUUGUAUUCUUUGAGUAGUACUCCCUCCAUUUCUAUUUAUAUGUCGUCCUUUUCUAAGGAUAGAUAAUAUUUAAUAUUUGACAUUUCACAAAACCAAUACAUAAAUAAAACGAUUCUUUCUAUUUUUACCUUUAAAAGCUAUUAGCCUUGAAAGUAUGAAUUUGACCAAUAUAGGAAAACUAAAUGAUUAGAUCAUUUUCAUUGAUCAAUUUAAUUAAUCAAAAUAAAUUAAUUUAUAUUCAUUUGUUGAAACUUGACUUCAAGAGAUCACUAAAUAAGGAUACACCAGUCAAUUCACCUAGACGUGAAAUCUAAAAUUGUGGCAUAUAAAUAGAAGUGAGGGGGUAGAUAAGAAAUUUUAUGUAACUUCUCUUGUUUUCGUGGUAUCAGAGCCUAAGGGCUCAAAUCUUUAGAUUCUCUAAAACAAAAUUUCAAUAAGGGGUCUACAGUAUAAAUAAAAUUUUAAUAUUCAAACAUUUCAAUAUUAUUUAAAUUAAUUUACCUUAGAGAUUGACAUAAUUCGAAAACCAAAUACCGAAUAAAUAAUUCAUAAAACUGAAAUUAUCAUCGCCGGACCAGUGACCACUAGUACCUCCAAACAACUCAAAAACAAACUACCACCCGAUCACACCAAAUCGGUCGUUACAUGAAAUGAGACAUUUCAUGGUAACGAUGGAUCUAAAUGAUACAAUACAAUAAAAUUUAAGUAACAAUCAACAUAAGUAUUGUAUUUAAACUAACUAUACAAUAUAAUGGGUAACAACCAUCCAAACAAGGUGUUAAUGUAAAAGCAUACAGAAUAUCAUAUAAUAAAGUUCAUAUAUCAAUGCAAUGGAUCCAUUGAAAGAAAGUAUUUUGAAGUACACACAAAACUCAAAAACAAGAAAAUUAUCCAUCUAGAUGGAUAUGAUUAUGCAUAAUGAACAGAGGAAACAGCUUAAGAGAAAAACUGGUCCAUUAGAUCCCCUCUUUCAAUCGCGAUCUUCUAUUUCUGCACAGCAAAGAAACACUUCUCAAAUAUAUUUUACGAAAGAUUUAACAGGUAAAAGUGUACAAGCUCAAAAUAUGAUGCAAUUAAUCUUGAGUCAGUUACCUGUUAAACCAGUGUUGCAGUUUUUUAUAUGCAAGGGGUAAAUAAGGACCUUGAGCUCUGCAUUUCCAUAUUCUUCUUGCACUUCUUGAAUGUCCUUGACUGACUUUUCAAGAGACUCACCACAUCGUUUCACUUCAACUAUCUUUAGAGUAGGAAUAUCUCCAAUCAUAGAAGGAAUUUCUUGAAGAUUAAAGCAGUUUUCUACCAGAAGCUGUUUGAGGUUAAGCAAGGACUCAUUUGAGGCAUUCCAUGUUGUUAUUUUAAGGGAACUUAAUUUAAGAACCUUGAGGUUCAGAAACUCUUCAUCUUCGAUCUCCCAUUUGUCCUGCUGAAAUGCUCUAUGUUCCAACUUGAGAACCACUAAAUUUGGUAAUCUUCCGAUAUUAGACAGUUCACUUUGUGGCAACAAAACAUCUGAUAGAGUUAGCUUUGUUAGUGUCGCGGGCAAGGUGAAAUUCAAAAUCUUACCAUUUACACUGAGUGUUUCAAGUUGAAGAGCAUCUAAUUUGAGUUUGAGAGGCUCUUUACAGUGGCAUUUGAGCUUUCGCAGUCUGCUUGCCUUCUUGACCAUGUAGUCUACUAGCUCAUUAGUGAGAGACACUGUGGCCAAAGUCUCUAUGUUUGUCGAUGUCUGAGGAAUGCGUCCAUCAAAAGAUGCAACAGGUUCAACAUGUACAUGCUUUAGCCUUGGCAUAUUCCAGAUGGUCAUCGGUAAAAUUGUGCCACUGCCUACUGUUAUUACAAGCAAUACCUCUAGGUUUGAAAGGUUCGAUAUCCAUAAUGGCAUAGAUACCAUAUAGCCUUUGAUUCCUAAGUACUUCAAAUGGAUCAGCUCUUUUGAUCUCUGGAAUGAACUGUCUGACAUAGGACAUUCCAUUUGUAGUACUUUUAAUAGUUUAAAGUUCUCGAGAUCAAGAAAUUCCUGGCAGCCAGAUUUCGGGGGUCUGAAGAAUGCAGAUCGAACUUGCAUGUUUCCAAUCUUCCCUGCCCAAUAAAGGCUAUGAUGAAUGCAAAGCCUCCGGUGCUCAUAAAAGGAACUAGACAAAUCAGUCUUCCCGGUGCUUGUUAGUUGCAUAAACUUCUCUUCCUUAGACUUUGUCAUGCAAAAAUCAUGUAACAUAUCAUGAAUGUGGCAUGUUCUGACUCCUCCAGUGGACUUUCUCUUGCUCACCAUUAUCAAGCUUCUACCAAUGAGAUCAUUCAGUAAACUUUCUACAGCAAGGUGUAUACUUUCUACCUCUAUGUUUGGCACCAAUCCCUCAAUAGUCCAUAACCACUCCAAGUUCGAGAGUGGAAUUUCUUCAUCCUUUUGAAAUGAUGCAAAAUAUAGAAGGCAGGGUUUGAGAUGAUCAGGCAAGUGCUUGUAGCUCAGUUCUAUAACCUCCAUGCACUCUUUUGCACUAGUAACAGUAUCUAACUUUAUACUUUCUGCGAUUCUUCUCUAAUUUUCCUCAUUUUUGCUUAUCCCAGACAAAACUCCAGCAACCAAAAUCACAAGGAGAGGUAGUCCUUUACACUUACUCGCGAUGUUUGCUCCACUUUUGAUAGGUCUGGUGGGCAAGUUUGUUCCUUGAACAGCUUGAUUCUCAUUAGUUCCCAACUUUCAUUUUCGUCAAGGAAACGAAGGUGAAGAGGUUCUCUAUCAGGGUUAAUUUCUGAAGCCACAUCGCUGAGUCUGCUAGUUAAUAAAAUCCUGCUUCCGUUAUUAUCAUCCGGGAAGCAUCCUCUCAAGUCAUCCCAUGUGUCAACACUCCAAAUGUCAUCAAUGUAGAGAAGGUACCUCUUCUUUUUUAAGAAUUUCUGCAAAGCAUCUGCUGGAUUUGACUCAUUCUGUUGAUUGGAACUUUUAACUUGAUUCAAAAUUUCAAGCAGCAACUUUCUCCUGUCAUAAGCUUGGGAAACACAACACUUAGCUUUGACAUCGAAAUGACGCCGCAUUUUCUCAUCAUGAAAAACUUUCUUUGCUAGUGUAGUUUUUCCAAGACCAGGCAUCCCUACGAUAGACACAACAUCCAAGUACUUUGGUCCUCUAGUGAGCCAGUUGAUUAGCAAGUCAAUCUCGUCCUUAAAACCCACCAUUACCUCAUCAAGUUGUGUAGUCUCAACUACUUGUCUGACAGGAUUUGGUGUUUGUUCUUCAAUAGGGACUUCAACUUCUCGCGUAAUCGUAGCAUGGAACUCUUUCAAAUGAUUCCUUACAACCUUAGUUUCUGUUGUGAUCUUACAUAACAAAUGUAGAUACCAAACAGGAUAAUCUCCGGUAACCAGGCAAUCAAUUAUGCAUUCUGCCUGGUAUGCUAGAGAUAUGACUUCUGUCCAUAGAUCAUGUUUCUUCACCUCCUCAAACUCAUGUUUUUUCUUCUCAACUUCCUUCAAGAAGUCUCGUACGAGACAUAACUCUUCCUGAGCUUCUUCAAUAAGAUGCUUGACAACAGAAUCACACUUUCCGUCUUGCAGCAGCUCUUCCAGAUAGCGUAAGAGGGAAUCGAUAAACCCCAAUCCAUUUGUCCUAGGAAAAUUACAUUUUGAUGACACUACAUCUUUCAGAAUCACAUCUUUUAGAUCUUCCAUGACAUGUUCAAUCUUUUUAACAAGUCACUGAAUACCGAGUUAACUUCUGCUGCUUUGUCAACGGAGAAAGAGAAAGCAGCAGAUACUACCUCAGCAAUCAGACCUUCAAUGCAAGUAAGUUUGUCACUCAUUUUUUCCUGGAUAACAUAUAAAUCUUCUGGUGGACAAAUGAGCAAAGUUACCAAUUGCUUUGAUGCUUCGGCAAGGCUUUUGAUUUGAUCCUUUUUAAGAGGAAGCAUCAAAGAACAUGCCUCACCGUCUGAUAACUCCAACAAAUCCUUGAAGAUGAAAUGAACAAAACCUUCAACAAAUUCUAUCACAUCCCGGCUGUAUUGGAUUUGCAAUUUAACUGAACCUCUUAGAGCUCCAGUAUAGAUUUCUGCAAUGUGCGGAUCAAUGGGCUUGAUAUCUUUCAAAACAUGAGAGAUUUGNNNNNNNNNNNNNNNNNNNNNNNNNNNNNNNNNNNNNNNNNNNNNNNNNNNNNNNNNNNNNNNNNNNNNNNNNNNNNNNNNNNNNNNNNNNNNNNNNNNNNNNNNNNNNNNNNNNNNNNNNNNNNNNNNNNNNNNNNNNNNNNNNNNNNNNNNNNNNNNNNNNNNNNNNNNNNNNNNNNNNNNNNNNNNNNNNNNNNNNNNNNNNNNNNNNNNNNNNNNNNNNNNNNNNNNNNNNNNNNNNNNNNNNNNNNNNNNNNNNNNNNNNNNNNNNNNNNNNNNNNNNNNNNNNNNNNNNNNNNNNNNNNNNNNNNNNNNNNNNNNNNNNNNNNNNNNUGGGCUGCAUAAAUUUGGUAAAGGCCACCUCCCUGGAACCAAUGAAAGGAGAAACUCAUAACCUUCUUUGACUUCAGCAGAAGAUAAGUCUGCCCUUGGUCCCGAGACAGUGUCACCGACUUGCAUUCCAUGUCUGCACAAUCUCCCCUCCUUAAUCCUUCCUUUUUCAUUUGCCCAAUACAAGAAAGUACCAAAAAAUCUCCUCUCUAUUUCAGACAUUUGUUUUCCAGCAGAAUUUCCUCAGAGUGGAUAUAUGUCGACAGCUCUGCAAGCAAAGAGAUUAAAAGCAAAUCACAUUCUAGGACAAACAAUGCAUACUCCAACUCUACACCAGCAAAACUCUGGUACCAUAAUCUAGCUGCUCUUCAUAUUGCGUCAAAUCCGGUGUAUCAUGAAAAAACUAAACAUAUUGAGGUUGAUUGCCAUUUUAUUCGCGAGAAGAUUCCGGAAAACAUGAUUUCCACUGGCUACGUGAAGAGAGGAGGGCAACUAGCUGAUUCUGUUCACAAAAAUGUUGAAUGGAACUCGAGUUGAUUAUCUUUGUAACAAGCUACUAUAAAGCUAUAUGUUUUCUUGUAUAUAAUAUUCUAGCUGAUUUCUAGGGAUUCAGAUAUCUAGUUACCUUAGUUAGCCUUUUCUUUACGUGUACUUAAAUCAGUGUAUUCUUUGGAUAAUAUACAAAUACAAGCUAUACUCUUAAACUUCAUUCUUUGAUAUAUAACAAUAGCUGAUUGCAUUAUGUCUGCAUUCAAAAUUAUGUAGCAAAAGAUGCAAGAAUUAAUACAAAUUAAGUUUGUUAUAAAAGUCUAUCACAUACCUUUUUAACAACUUUGGCAGAGCAGAAAGCAGUGAUCUAGGGUUCAUCAAUUUGUUCCACAAUUUUAACCAAAAACAACUAAAGUGGACUUGCUUUUAUAUGUGUGUUAAUCAUGGAAUACUUUUGAGAUUACUUAAUAUAAAGUAUAAUGAAACUAAAAAUUACAGAUAAAUGAAGACUAUAAAAUGAUGCAGCUUGAUUGUUUCAUUCUGGCCACUGGUAAUGGAUAAGAAAUGAUUUGUUUUCCUCUGUUUCAAUUUGUUUGGCCUAUUUUGAUAUGACGUGAAGUUGUAGAAAGUGAAAAAGACUUUUGAAUCUUAUGGUCUUAAACAUGUCGUGUGGAAAGUUGAAGUUAAAGAGUCGCUAAAAAAAGAAAGGGUCGUUCUUUUUUAAACAGACUAAAAAAAAAAAAGUAGGUUAAACAUAUUAAAACGGAGGAAGUAAUUGAAAGUCUGAACCUACUAAAAAGAAAAGUAGGUCAUGAGUCGGUAUCAUAUUAAUUAGAUCAUUGAAAUAUCUCAUGAUUUACGGAAGAAAGUCCUCAUUUGCUGCUACCAAUUUCACCACUUUGUCAAACAUCAUUUAAUUGGCAAAGAAAAGUCAAAUAAGACAUUUGCAAGUUAGAUAUUAUUCUUGUCAUUGAUUUCACUCAUGAAAUUAUUCGUGUUAGAAAGCAGAAUGAGGUAUACCAUAUAGACUGUAUAAAAAAAUAGUCUGAUAAAAAAAAUAGAGCGUUAGCGAUCAUCUCUUAUCGGAAAAGGUCGGAAUCUAAGUCAAUGAUGAAGCAGAAGGAUCCUAACUCAUUAGCUCUUAAGCUAGCCAAGUCUCUUGGCUCUGAUCAGCUAGCUGCUGCACUUCAUCCUGACAACAAUUGGCCUAAAUUAUUACUCCCUCCGUCCCAUUUUAUGUGGCAACAUUUGACCGGGCACGGAGUUUAAUAAAUAGAUAAAGACUUUGAAAUGUUUAUCAAAUUGCCCUUCAAAAAAAUAGAUAUAUUUUUCUCUCUCCUAAUAAAUGUAUUGGAGUACUCUUUUCAAGAUUAAGUGGGACCAACAAGGGUAAAAGAGAAAUUAUACCUUUAAAUACUUACCAAAUAAGGAAAUGUGACAUUCUUUUUGAGACUGACCAAAAAGGAAAUGUUGCCACAUAAAAUGGGACGGAGGGAGUACCAAUCUUUUAUAGGUGUUUCAGUACUCACUACAAGAAAAUGUACAUACGACAUUAAUUUAGUGACAUUUGAAAUAAAUGUUGGAAAAUAAAGAAUUUUACGAUAUUUAGGAACAAAAUGUCAUAAAACAAUGACAUUUGAUGUCAAAUGUCGUAAAAAUAAUGACAUUUGGUAUCAAAUAUCAUAAAAAUAAUAACAUUUGGUCCAAAAUGUACUAUGAUAAUGACAUUUAUUGCAAAAUAUCGUUGUUUUUAGCGACAUUUAGCAAAAAUGUCAUUUAAAUGAUGACAUUUGCUACAAAUGUCGAAUAUAAUAUGACAUUUAUUACAAAAUGUCAUUGGUUUUAGUGACAUUUAGAAAAAAUAUCGCUUAAAUAGUGACAUUUAAUAUAAAUGUCGAAUAUAUUAUGACAUUUACUGCAAAAGGUCAUUGAUUUUUAGUGACAUUUAGAAAAAAUGUCACUAAAAUAGUGACAUUUGUUGUAAAAUGUCAUUGAUUUUAGCGACUUUUAGCAAAAGUGUUGCUAAAGAAGCGACAUUUAAUACAAAUGUUGAAUAUAUUACACUAGUAGAAUUUCGUUUGCAAAAUUGUUGCUAAAAUAGUGACAUUUCAUACAAUUAUCGAAUAUAUUAUGACAUUUAUUGCAAAAUGUCAUUGAUUCGAUCGACAUAUAGUGAAAAUUUCGCUAAAACAGUGACAUUUUUAUACAAAUAUCGAAUAUAUUAUGUCAUAUGUUGAAAAAUGUCAUUGAUUUUUAUGACAUAUGAUGAAAAGUACUGUUAAACGACUACAACAUUUUAUGUCUACAACCACCCUAGAAAAGUGUAGCCUUUGAUAAAAGGCCACACUUUUUGACUUUAAGCCACGCUUUUCCAGGGGUGGCCGAAAGAAGCAUAACCUUAGAGUUUAGGCGACACUUUUCAAGUGUUGCCUUAACAGCUACGCUUAAAAGCAUAGCCUAAAAGGCAGAAAGGCCACGCUUUGCAGUACCUCAUAUAGCUUAACAUUUCUAUCUCAUACAACUACACUUUCAAGGGUGGCCUUUGCUUCCUUAUUGCCCACGAUUUUAAAGUGUUGCCUUUUCUAUCUUAUGUAUGACAACACUUUGAAGUGUAGUCCUUGCUCAUGUGCAUACCACAAUUUACAGUUAUUUGGCUGCACUUUUAAGUAUGGUAAUAUUAUUUUUACUAUAAAAUAUUUAUAUGCCACAAUUUCUAAUUAAAAAACAUCAAUAUUAUUUUGCAAUAAAUAAUCUCAAACACUAAAUUAGCUAAUAAGUAAUUCAAAUAUAUAGAUUUGUAAUAAACUUCAAAAGAUAGUAUGUCUUGUGUACAUACACAUACUUGUUUGACAGAGAAUUUAAACUAGUUUGUUGAAUUAAUCCAACACAUUGACACUGAAGCAAUAGUCCAUUACAUUGAUAUAUUACACCCUAUAUUCCUAAACACGUUGAAUGGUUCCCUGUAUCUAGACGUGAAAAUAUCCAUUAUGAUGUAUUCAAAUUGUCUCAUUGAACUAACUACAUAUCUGAAGCUGUCUCACUGCCAGCAAAAUGUGUACCUUGUACUCUUUGCUUCAAGUAGUAUGAACCAUGUCUAUUUGACCCUAUAAGUAAUAUGAACUAUGUCUAUUUGUAUAAUUUUCACUCGAACCCUAAAGUACUUAGGUCCAAUAAACACAUUCAUCCUAUGUGGUGUCCUGUAUGAUAAUUUUGUGUCCUAUGUGACGUCCUACAUGUAUUAUGUUGUAGGACGUAUGAGUCAACUUGUUCAAUUUUAUACAAGUUGAAGUGUCUAUUUGUGCAUGCCAAAAAUUGAAGGACAUAUAUGUCAGAUGAAUUCAAAUUUAAAAACAUAUUUAUGUAUUAUGUCAAAUAUUAAUCUAAAGACAUCACAAAUAUGGCCGUGUAAGAUGGUAAUCGAUCCGUUAUACCAACACCAAAUGAACAGAAGGACAAAUUUAGAUGUGCAUGAAAUACUUUUAAUUAAUGGUGAAAGAUAUAUACAAGUGAGUAAGCAUACAUGUGAUCUACACUCUAACCAAAAAGAGCAAUUAUUUUUUGUUGUUGUCAAAAUUAAUCCUCCAAUAAUUCCUUUCAUCUUCAAAAAUUACUUUCACUUUGCAAUUUUUUUCUUGUCUUCAAAGCAUACUGCUUAAAAAUAUAGAGAGAAGAGCUAGUAUUGAUCACUUUGCUAUAGUCUGUCUAUAGUUUCUUUCAAUUGAGUACUAAACAAUGACUAAAUGUUCUUCUCUUCAUUUUUAAUUGCACUUAAUAGGUACUAUUUCCUAAUUAUUUGGCCACAUUUCCUUUUUUAAUUAUCCCUAAUUAUUUGUUCAUUUUGAUAAAUCAAGAAAUGACAAUUUUUUACCUAUUAUACCCUCAAUUAAUUACAUUGAAAAAUGUAGAACUUUUUGAAAAUCUUAAGUUUUUAUUCAUCAACUUCAUAAUUAAUAAGGGUAAAAUGGUAAACUCACUAUAUCAAUUAUUGUUUUCGUAAUAGACGUGUCAAUUCAAAAGUGGACAAGUAAUUAGGAACAUAGUACUCCUUCCGUCCGAAUUUAGUUGUCCAUAUUUCUUCUUUUAGUUGUCCCUAUUUAGUUGUCCAUUUUGACAAAUCAAAAAAGGAUAACAAAUUUUUUCCUAUUAUACCCUUAUUUAAAUGAAGUUGUCAUAAAUAAAGUAAAUAAACUUAUGAACUUCCCAACAUUGAUUAGUUAUCUUGAGUGAAUUUAUUUUGAAAUUGUAAAUUGUACUAUAAGGGUAAAAUUGUAACUUCACUAUGCUAAUCAUUGUUGCCUUAAUCUGUGUGUCAUUUCUAAAGUGGACAACUAAAUAGGGACGAGUAAUAAACGAUGACCAAGAAAGAAUAAUUAAUUAUUUUUCUUGUUUUUUCCUCUAAUGGAGGACAGAUGGAAGAUUAAUAAAAUAUUAUUUAUCUUCUUAAAGUUUAGAGGCCCACUUAAUAAUUGCUACAAAACAAAGAUGCUAAUCAGCUAAAGGAUAUAUUGUAGAAUAAUAAUUUAUACUCCCUUUGUUCGCUUUUAUUUGUCCUAAUUUUACUUGACACACCCAUUAAAAAAAUAAUUAUUAAUAUAGGUAUUUUAUUAAAUUGUCCCUAUUAAACGAUGUUUAGUAUUAAGUAUUGGAAAGUGACUUGGAAAUAGAGUAUUUAAUAUUGAGGGUAAAAUAUGGAAAAAUAUAAUUGUCUUUUUAUGAUAUGUCAAAAGUAACAAAUAAAAUGAAAAUUUAUUUUAGGAAUAAGUGAAAGUGAACGAGAGUAUUAAUUUUAUCUACCCGAGUUAAGAGGUUCAAAUCAAUGAUUUCUUUAUCUUGUCUUUUUAGCAUUGCAAUUAGGGGUGUAUAAAAUCGAACCGAAAAUCGAAUCAAGCCGUAAAUCAAAAAAAAAACCUGACUAGUGGUUUGGUUUGACUUGGUUUGGUAUUGGAAAAAAAAAUCCGACUAUAUUUGGGUUGGGUUGGGUUGGUUUUAACUUAAAAAAAACCAACCCGAGACCAAACCAACCCGACAUUAUAUAUGUAAUUUUAAAAUUUUAUUUUAUACAUAAAAAUAUUUACUUUGAUAUAAUUUUAAAAUAUUUCUUAUACUAUUUCAUAGUUUUUAUCUUUUAAUAUAUUAUUUCAAGUUUAAAACUUAGAAUUCGGAAUGGUCCAAUAAAGAUUAUAGUUCAUAGAUGUUGAUAAUUAUAAUUAAAUUUAAAUCAAAAUCAAAUUAAUACUAAUGCAAAAAGAAAAUCAAUUCAACACUAAGAAUGACAAUAAUAUUGAAUAUUUGUUCUUUAGUUUUACAUUGGUUUAGACAAUUAAAAUACAUAAUCUAAUUUUAAUUUUCCUUAAAUAUUUAGUAAUGUAACUAAUACUUAUUAAACUUAUUUUAGCAUGAUUUAGUACUUUUAAAUUAUGAUCAUUUUCAUUAUGACUUUGCAAUAUUUAUUUUAUAUAAUGAUUUCAUUAUUAUUUAUUAUUGAAUAUUUUUGUUCACCAGUACUCAUCUCAUAUUUUGUGUUAUUUUUUUUUUAAGAAAUACCUUAGAUAAUUGUAUUUUGGUUGGACUAAAGAAAUAUUUGGAGCACAAGUUAAUUAUGAAAUAUGUCUAUUUGUAUAACAGAUGAAUGAAGAAUAUAAAAUGAUGCAACUUCAUUGUUUCAUUAUGGCCACUGGUAAUGGCUAAGAAAUGAUUUUUUCCCCCUUUGUUUCAAUUUGUUUGACCUACUUUGACUUGACAUGAAAUUUAAGAAAAUAAAAAAGAUUUUUAAAUCUUGUGGUCUUAAACAUGUCGUGUGAAAAGUUGAAGUUAAAGAGUUGCUAAAAAAAGAUAGGGUCAUUCUUUUUUAAACAGAUUAAAAAGAAAAGUAAGUCAAAUAAAUUAAACGGAGGAAGUAAUUGAAAGUCUAAACCUACUAAAAAGAAAAUUAGGUCAAGAGUCGGUGUCAUACUAAUUAGAUCAUUGAAAUAUCUCAUGAUUUACAGAAGAAAGUCCUCAUUUGCUGCUACCAAUUUCACCACUUUGUCAAACAUCAUUUAAUUGGCAAAGAAAAGUCAAAUAAGACAAAGUUAAACAUUAUUCUUGUCAUUGAUUUCACUCAUGAUAUUAUUCGUAUUAGAAAGCAGAAUGAUGUAUAUCAUAGGCUGUAUAAAAAAUAGUUUGGUAAGAAAAAUAGAUUUUUAGCGAUCAUCUGUUAUCGGAACUAGCAAUAUGGAUCCUAACUCAUUAGCUCUUAAGCUAGCCAACUUGUAUAGGUGUUUCAGUACUAAUUCCCAUUUGACAGAGAAUUUAAACUUGUUUGUUGAAUUAAUCCAACAUAUUGACGCUGAAGCAAUAGUCCAUUACAUUGAUAUAUUACACCCUAUGUUCCUAAACACGUUGAAUGAUUCCCUGGCUAAUCUAGACGUGAAGAUCACUGCCCUGACGGCGAUGAGUAACUUCAUUCAACAGGUGGGGAGUUCAAAAGAUAGGGAGAGGUUUCAGGAUCUGUUGCCUGCGAUGAUGGACAUGCUGAAUAAGGCAUUGGAAGAAAAUUGUGAGGCAUCAGCUCAGUCUGAGUUGGAGAUUUUGAUUGAGUUGGCCAAGAAUGAGCCUAGCUUCUUCAGGAUGCAGCUUGUGGUUGUGGUGGGUUCCAUGUUUGAUAUAGCUGAAUGCGAGAGUUAUGAAAAGAAAACGAGACGUUUGGCGGUUGAAUUCGUGAUGACAUUGGUUGAGGCCAGGGAGAAGACCCCUGGCAUGAUCAAGAAGUAUCCAUUGUUUACUGAAAAAUAUUUUGCAAUUUUAUUGAAUUUGUUAGAGGAUGAGGUUUAUGACCCUCUCUUGCCUGAUCCUUAUGAUAAAUGGGAUAACAAUUAUGAUUUCCUUUUUCUUAAGAUGUGUUUAAGGCGGUUGUCCAAUGCGCUGGGUGGUAAGACUGUUGUUCCUGUUGCCUUUGAGCAGCUCCGUGCUCACUUGGCUGACGACUCGUGGCAGAAGCCAUGCGCAGCACUCUAUGCACUUGCUCAGAUUGUUGAAGGCUGCUCAGAGGUGUGUAUUUAUUGAUACACUACUAAGAAUUGCAUUUAAACUGAUUAGUUAACGAUCUUGGGAUAGCAGAAGGUCACCUUGAUUAUACUUUCUUCUGUUAUUCUCUAGACUAAGUACUUUGCUUGCUCUCAUCUCUUCUUCAUUAUAAUAGGUGAUGAUUAAGAAUAUGAAUCUAGUGGUGACAAUGGUUCUGGAUUGUAUGGGACAUCCUCAUCCUGGAGUUAGAUUCGCCUCCAUGGAAGCAAUUCGCGAGUUUUUGAGUUUCAUGCGUCCCCAUUUUCAAGAACAAUGUCAUCACCAAGUAGUGCCGGCAUUAAUUAAAGCUAUGGAUGAUGAGAGUGUACAAGUGCAGGUCUGUAUGUCCUACGAUGAUAUGAACUCCUUUGGAUGCUAGUAUCAUAUGUCCCAAAUUACAGUUGCGAAAUUUUCUUACUGAACCUUCUCAAUGGGCUUAACUUUAACUUUAUUAGAUUUAAUCCCUGCUCUAACUUUACUAUCUUCAUAUUUUCCUAGGUCAGUGUCAUACGCACGGUCUGGCACUUCCUUCACGUUCGCACGCCUGAAUAUUUGACACUUUACAUCCAUGGAUUACACAAUAAAUUGCUUCAACUGUCGUCACAUACUGUUGCGGUGGUACGUAUUGUAGACUAAGUGCAAGAGAAAUCAGAUCAUUUUCUUGAACAAUGAACAGACAAUAUUACGAAUACAUUAAGGGAAACAACCAUAAUUUCCAAGUUCCCAAUAUAAUUAUCCCGCCCUCCUUUAUAAAUUCAAAGUUUGUUACUCCCUUGAAUGUCCUUGAGGUCUCUACUUGCCUGAUUUAUUUUUGUUUUUGACAUGAAAGGUCCAAAAAUCAGCGUCAACUGUACUCAAUUGUUUGGGUGAGCAUUUUGAGGUAUUACCUAGUAAUUCUGCUUCAACUUUUAUUAAGAGUAUGUUGUAUUAAGCUGGUUUUAUAUUUCUAUUAAUAUUAACAUUACUUCAACAGGAGUUCUAUGGGAACAACUACGAAUCUAAUAAACCACUUUUGAAAGCUUCACUGGUAGAAGCAAAUUUUCCAAGUAAAGAUGUAGAGAUGAUCAUGUCAGUGUACGAACCUGGCAGUUCGGUACUUCCAAAACAGGUCUUCCACCAGUUAUACCAAAUGGAUUCUAUACAUCUCACUGAACUUAGAGCUUAUUGUUUAUUCGUUUUCUAUUUUUCUGUUGUUGACAUAAUGUCACUAUAAGAUUAUGGAAGCAGUUAUGUCAUUACAAGGAUCACAAGAGGAUGAUGAGGAUACAAAUACCAUCUACAAGCUAAUGGUAUGUGUUGUUGAGAAUAUCGUUAACUAAUAAAAUGGUGUUCUCUCUAAUAGCUUAAGCUUUUAGAUGAGAUGGUCACACACUUCAACAUGUUAUCAGAACAGGCAGAGGCCCUGGGAUCAAAUCUCUUCGCCACCCAAAUUAAAAAGAAUUUCCACGUGCUAAUCAGUCAGAAAUUCUUUCAAGAUUGGUCUUUCUAUAUUUCUUGAUCUCAUUCCAGGUUGUCACACUUGGACUUCUCUCUUUUUCUUUCUUUCUACCCGUGAUUUUGAUCGCGAACUGAAAAUUUAACAAGUGGUUUCAAUGGCCUAAUGCUUGAUAAAUGAUACAGACUGCUUCAAUUUUAUUUCCACUUUUGAAAUUCCAUUUCAAAGGGGUCAGGUUCCAUACAGUUUGAAGGUGAGAUUUCUCAGGAUUUCACAUAGUUAAUUUCUACCGUCUUUUAUAACUAUCUGAUCAACUCCAAGACUUUUUAAUUUGUAAUGUUUAUAGCGAUGAAGCACAUUUUGCAAUCUGCUAAACUGGCUGAUGAGAAAGGGAUUGCUCCAGGUGAAAGCCAUUCGGAUUUCAAGCAGUUUUCAGACAGUAUAAUACUGAAUUUGGUGGAAGCUUUGCAUGAGGUUUACUUUUAACAUUAAGCUUCUUCUUUUUGGAUAAUGAGAAAGUAACACUUUGAUUUCUAUAUAAUGCAGGAGCUUGAAACAGAGAUAUAUGUACAUAUGUUGAAUACAUUACGACUGUGCCUUCAGGUUCGUGAUCUUUAAACACUGCUUAUUUGUUUUUGAUCCAAAGUUUUCAGUGUUUCACUAUGAGCUAGGUAUGAAGUUUUUUGGAACUGUUGCCUUUAAGUCUGUUGCUUAAAAUGUUCCAUUAGUAUCAUCAAAGUGAGAAAAUAGCAAUGGUGACAAGUCGAGUUAGAAUGGCAAAACAGGAUUUUUCAGGUUGUAUAUGGUCCUUGUGUUUCUUCUUUCAGAUAUGUGGUCCACUUCUCAAUAAAGACCAGCUUCGUCCGGUCGUGGAUGAGAUAAAGCAUGUCAUUACAGAAAAUUUAAAUAGCCAAGGAAAACUCAGAGAGAGAGAAAAAACAGAAGACUUUGAUGCUGAGGAAGCUGAAUUGCUGAGAGGGGAAAAACAGCGACAAGAUCAAAUAAUUUUCCUUGUAUGUUCUAUUUUAAAACAGGAACUAAAGUGAUACACUGUUGUCUAUAUAUUCAAGCAUUUUCGCUUUGUUUAUGCUGUUAUUCUUGAACAGGCUGGUCACAUAUUACGUAGACUUAUCGAAUCAUUCAAGGUUGUUUUCUUGCCUUACUUUGACGAGCUAUCAUUAUAUCUGAUUCCGAUGUGGGUAAGUUCAUUGACAUUAUUCUGACAUGACGUUAGUUUAUUUACUAUUAUUCAUAUCUAGGAUAUCUUACUGUUUCCGAUUUUGUUAAGGGAAAAGAAAUGACAAUUCAAGAGAAAUCUACAUCACUUUAUAUCUUUGAUAGUCUUGUGAAGGAGUGCUCUGAAGCAGCUCUAAAGUGAGUUUAAUUUGUCUGUAUGAGUUUCUGGUGUAUCACCAUUUUUAUAAAUUACUUACUUCUUAUGCCAACUUAGGUACUGUGAUGUAUUUCUACCUUUGCUUCUGAAAGCAAGCAAUGACGACAACCCGACAGUUAGACAGGUUUGGAUCAUAGUGAUUGUUUACAUUCCUGUUACUCAAGUUGGUUGCUCACAAUGACUUUAUGUUCAGAAAGCUUUAUAUGGACUUGGGCUUUAUGCAGAAUAUGAUGGUUCUGUUUUCCAACCUUAUGUUAGAGGUAUUAAUAUUGUUGAAUGUGAUACCUUCUAAUCAAGCAAGUGUUUUUGUUAACUUACGCGUUUAUGUUCAGAGGCUAUGUCACGGAUCAAUGUAGUGAUAAUGCAUUUACGUGCUCGUGAACCUGAGAAUGAACUUGCAUAUGAUAAUGCUGUUUCUACCCUUGGUAAAAUAUUUCAGUUUCAUCGAGAACUUAUCGACUCAGCCCAGGUUUGUCCUUCUCAGAAUCCCUAAUGUUAAGUCUUGUUAUAAUUUCUGAUUCUGAAUCCUUGUGUAGGUCAUUCCCAUUUGGUUGAAUUGCCUGCCUAUAAAAGGUGACCUUGCUGAAGCCAAAUAUGUUCAUGGUCAACUAUGUUCCAUGGUUGAAAGGUAUUGGAUUUGUUUGGAAACUCUAAUAUGUUAUAACUUUCAUAAAAUGCAGGAUUAUUUUAUCCAACGUUUUGUUGGAAAUAUUAUAUUAUCAUAAGACUAUUUAUUCCACCAUUUAUACCUUAAAAUGUGAUAAGUUAUUUCAUCCCGAAAUAGUUGAUGUCAGGAUAACUUAUUCCGAACCAAACCAUCCCUUAAUGAUUUAUCAAAUUUUCUCAAUUGCAGGUCAGAUAGAGAACUUUUGGGUACCAAUUAUGAACACUUCCCAAAAAUUAUGUCAGUUUUUGCAGAGGUUAGUUCCAUAUCAGAAUCUAUAGAUGCCAGUUUGAGUUGUUUAUUUGCUCAUGUUACAUAUUAAAUGAGAUAAAUAUUGAAAACAUAAUUAUUAAUUUCAUAAUCAAACUAUUAACAAUCUUAAAAACACUCAUUUCUUUGACUAACUAAACUUAAAUACACUCCCGAUCUUGCAACAUGACCAAAAUACAUCCCUAAUUUAAGGGUGCUUUCAACACUCCUCUAUGUAAUGUGGCAGAUCAGAGAUGUAUUUAAGUUUAAUCUGGUCAAGUAGAUAUGUGUUUUUAAGACUAUCAAUAAUUCAAGAACGAAACGAACAAUUUGUGUCAAGUUUAAGAGUGUUUUUGAAUCAAACUAAAGACAUUUUUUAUUCCAUUUUUAAGGUUAUAUGUGGUGGAAAACAUCUUGCUACAGAAGAAACAACAAAGUGUAUGAUUAAUCUGUUGAGGAAUCUUCUUAAAGAACUACCACCAGACACUUUGACAUCAGCAUGGUCAUUGAUAUUGCCUCAGCAAGAAAUGGAACUAAAAGCCAUUUUAUUUCCUGGAAUACUUCAUGUGGUACGUUUUCACAACAAAACAUUUUGUAUGCUUGACACUGAUACCAAUGAAAGCUCUCCCCCUUACUCUUUACCAUCCAAAAUUGUCAAACUUCUUGAGGAAGAACACCAGAAAAAUAGUAUUAUUGUUCCACAAAUGUAACUUAUAAACCAUAAAUUGUAUCUUUAAUUAAGUUUUGUAUCAUUUAAGUAUACAAGAUGAUACUAUAGUUGAUUUGUGGGGAAUUGAAUAUGUAAUUAUCAUUAAACUAUCUAUUUUAUAUCUUUUUUACGAUUUAUCUAUCCAUUUGGAAUUUCUUUAUUUUUAAUUUUUCAUAAGUUGAAAUUCAUAUUGUGGCAUAUAAUUUAAAUAAUUAUUUAUUCAAAUUAAACAAGUCAAACCUUAAGGACCUAAAAUCUAAACCUGACGGCAUAAACCAUAAACCUUGAGGGGUCGUUUGGUGUGAAAGAUAACUUUAAAUAGUCCUGCGAUUAAAUUAUAAUGUCACUAAAUUUGUUGUUUGAUUGGCAAUUUGGUGAUAAGUUAUCUCGUGAUUAAUAAUUAAUACAAGGAUAAAUUAUCCCUUCCCUUGGGUGGUACAAUAAUCCCGAGAAAACUUAUCACGAGAUAAAAUGACUAAAUGACAAAAAUAUCCCUUCAAACACUUUUUAUACAUUACUUUUCAUAUUCAUGAACGGUAUUUUUCUAAGCAUCAUAACUUGAAUUCAAACCAAACGACUGCACCUUAGAGCCCAAAAAAUAAACUCAAAAUCAUAAACUCUAAACCUUAAACCUUAGGCCUCAACCUUAAAAUCUAAACCAUAAACCCAAAACUCAAAAGCUUGGGGCCUAAAACCUAAGAUCUACGAUUUAUGGUUUAGGAUUUAGGAUUUAGACUCUAAAAUUUAUAUUCUAGGGGUUGUAGUUUAUCGUUUUGACUAUAAGAUUUAGGAUUUAAGAUUUAUAAUUUUAAGAGUUUAGGCCUUAUGGUUAAGUGUUUAGAGAUAAGAUUUAUAAUUCAUGUAUAAAUUAAAAUAUAGGGUUUAGGCCCAAGGUUCAUAUGGUUUUAUGAUUUAUCAAAAGCCAAUUUGAGGUCAAUUUUUAAGCACAAUUGAACCAAACCCAUUUGAACCCAAAAUAAAUUUGAACGGAUUGAUCAACUUCGUGUAUUUUUUUCUACACUUUUGACUCUUCAUCACCUUUCUACAAUUACAAUUGUUUCACAAAUCCUUUUUUUAAAAUCUUUCAAACAUAAUUAUAAAAAAUAUCUUAGUAAAUCCAUUCUAUUUCCUAAUCCCUUUCAUAAAACAAAUAAUCAAAAUAGCCUCAGAAGGAAGGCAGUAGUAUAGUCAUAAUCAUUAUUUUGACCAUUAACGCAAAACUACUCAUCAUCGGACAAAAAAAUAAUAAAUUAAAAGAAACAAAAAACAAUUAUUAUUGUAAUGCUUGAAAGUUUUGCAAUUUUCCUAAUUCAAAAUUAUUGACUAUCGAUUUUGAUAAUGUAUUUCCCAAAAUUGUUGUGUGAAAUACACGAGUAAAAUACAUCUGAACUCAAAAUUCAAAAUACAUUUCAAAACUCAAAAUUAAGAGUCAAAUUUGUGCAUAAAAUUUAGGACUUGAAAUCUAAACUCAAAAUUUGAAACCAUAUACCUUAGGGCAUAGAUCCUAAACCUUAAGAGCCUAAACUUUAAACAUUAUGUCCAAAAUUAUGAACCCUAAAUCUUGAACCUUAAAUCCCAAGUCAUAAACCCUAAAAUCUUAGAACUUAAACCCAAAACUCUAAACCUUAAAGCCUAAACCUUAAACCUUAAACCUUAAACCUUGAAAGCCUAAAUCUUAAUGUUUAGGAUUUAUGAUUUAUGGUUUUUGAUUUUAAAAUUUAAGAUUUAGAGUUCAGACAAUAUGGUUAAGAGUUUUAAGUUUUAUGAUAUAAGAUUUAGGCCUUAAAAUUUGAAGUUUAGAUUUUAACAAUUAGGCUCUAAAAACUUUAAGAUUAAAAAUACAGCAUUUGAACAUUAUAAUAAAUAAUUAUGUAGUACCCCAACGACCAAAUACACCACAAAAAUUAGAUGCAAAGGAUAGCGAGGGGAACAUUAUUAUAGCUUCACUUGCUAAAGUAUCACACUACAAAAAGUGAAAUCCACAAAAUAUAAUUAGCAAAAGCAUAGUACAAUUAACAACAUAUCCAAUAAAAUCACAGUAAAUUUAUGCAAAUCUUAUCAUUAUCUCGUAAAAAUAAAAAUAAAAUAUGAAAACUACUUAGUCCCUUAGAUGUUCAAUUAAUUGCGAUCAUCUUCGCAAAUCAUUACAGGUCUGUAACUGUAAAAAAUUAAUCAUCACUGUUGUUUCCAUUGAAUAAAAUAUAUAAAAAAAAUUUUGAUGAACAAACUCAGUCCCUUAGAUGUUCAAUUUGUUGCGAUCAUUUUCGCAUAUCAUUACAGGUCUGUAACUGUAAAAUAUUACUCAUCAUUGUUUAUUCAUCAAAAAAAUAUUCUGAAUUUUUUUUUUUUUAAAAAAAAGUUGUAGCUGCUCCAAUUGUUCUCCACAGAUUAAAUUAAAUGAGGAGAAAGAUGAAAAAGGAACAACACACUUAUAAUGCUUCAAGGGAACGAGUUGGUCAAAAAUAAAUUAUUUCUUGCCAACCAGAUUAAAGAAGCAUAUAACUCAAAAUAUAUACACAAAAAUAAUAAAUUUAUUUAGAGUUUAGAAGAUAUAUCACCAUUGUUGAAGAUUUCAAUCGGCAGCUGCAGAAGAGAGAAAUUGUUGUGUUUUGAAGUACACGCAAAACUCAAAAACAAGAAAAUUAUCCAUCUAGCUGGAUAUGAUUAUUAUGCAUAAUGAAUAAAGGAAACAGCUUAAGAGAAAAACUGGUCCGUUAGAUCUCCUCUUUCAAUCGCAAUCUUCUAUUUCUGCACAGCAAAGAAACACUUCUCAAAUAUAUUUUACGAAAGAUUUAACAGGUAAAAGUGUACAAGCUCAAAAUAUGAUGCAAUUAAUCUUGAGUCAGUUACCUGUUAAACCAGUGUUGCCGCUUUUUAUAUGCAAGGGGUAAAUAAGGACCUUGGGCUCUGCAUUUCCAUAUCCUUCUUGCACUUCUUUAAAGUCCUUAACUGAUUUUUCAAGAGACUCACCACAUCGUUUUACUUCAACCAUCUUUAGAUAAUGCAUAUGUCCAACCAUGGAAGGAAUUUCUCGAAGAUUAAAGCAGUUUUCUAUAAGAAUGUGUUCGAGGUUGGGAAAGGACUCAUCUGAUGCAUUCCAUGUUGUUAUUGUAAGGGAUCUUAAUUUAAGAACCUUGAGGUUCAGAAACUCUUCAUCUUCGAUCUCCCAUUUGUCCUGCUGAAAUACUCUAUGUUCCAACUUCAGAACCACUAAAUUUGGUAAUCUUCCGAUAUUAGACAGUUCACUUUGUGGCAACAAAACAUCUGAUAGAGUUAGCUUUGUUAGUGUCGCGGGCAAGGUGAAAUUCAAAAUCAUACCGUUUACACUGAGUGUUUCAAGUUGAAGAGCAUUUAAUUUGAGUUUGAGAGGCUCUUUACAGUGGCAUUUGAGUUUUCGCAGUCUGCUUUCUGUUUUAUUUAAGAAAUACUCCCUCCGUCCCAUUUUAUAUGAUGUACUUUGAUACCGUUUACACUGAGUGUUUCAAGUUGAAGAGCAUUUAAUUUGAGUUUGAGAGGCUCUUUACAGUGGCAUUUGAGUUUUCGCAGUCUGCUUUUCUGUUUUAUUUAAGAAAUACUCCCUCCGUCCCAUUUUAUAUGAUGUACUUUGAUUUGGCACAAACUUUAAGAAAAAUGGAAAGACUUUUAAAACUUGUGGUCCAAAAUGAAUGAUAGAAAUUUGUGUGGUUGUAAAUCAUUUCAUUAAGGGUAAAAAAGACAUUUUAUAGGCAAAUUGUUACUUAAAAUAGAAAUGUGUCAUUCUUUUUGGGACUGACUAAAAAGGAAAGUAAGUCAUAUAAAUUGGGACAGAGGGAGUAUUAUUUAAGACUGGUUUAAGAGUCGCCACUUAAUUUUUAAGAAAAAUCAAGAAAAACUGAUUUUCAAUAGAUUAAAACAGUGAAUCAAUUGAAAAUACUAAAGGGGGUUCGGGGGUUCUUAUAAAUAUUCUAGGAAGGUUUUUAAGGCACCUAGAAUAUCCACUAAUGUGGUUAUCCGACGAUUAACUACUUGGCUAAAAUAAUUGAACUUAAUUUGAUUUGAGCAAUUUUUAUUGUUAGAACCAUAUUAAAGGGAAAUACUUAAAUAUUAUCUAAGUGAGCUAAUUUUUAAAACUUAUUCUUUAAGUCUUGUUGAGUGAUGACUGAUUCAGUUAAAUUGUUAAAUCAAAAUAGGCGUCUUUCGGGGAUUUGAAUUUUUCAACCUUAAGGUUAGCGACAAAUAUUAACAAGCACACAAAUAUAAUAAAAUAAAGAGGGAAAGAGAUUUGGGCCCAAGUUUGGUUUUACUGUCCGCCUGGACCAAUACUUGGGCCCACUUUCGUUUUGGGGUUUUCGGCCCAUUUAAAUAAUCGGUACCUGUCCUAGUCUAACAAGAUAAUAACAAGGGCUUAGGCCCCCAAAAUAACAAAAAUACAAUUCCCGAAACUAAGAGUGGGCCUUUGGGUCCAUUUUCCUUCUUUCGUAUACACUAGAUGUCUACUAGUGUACACAAUCCCAUAUGUCUGCUUCGAAGACCUGUACGCUGAAUUCAUGGAAUUGCUCUUCAAUUCUAUUGGCUGGCCGACUCAAUGAAGGAUUUGAGCAUUUAUGGCUCUCUCGAAGUGAGGGGGAAGGAGAUAGGAGUUCAUAGUGAACUCGGACAUAUUUCACAAGCAAAACGAUAAAUAAGUAACAAAAUUAGCAUCUUCGGGAAGGAAAUGAAGUGAUAAGAUAAAAUAAAUAGAUAAGUAAAAUAACAUGCCAGUCAAUCAUUAACAACACAACGCCUAAACAAUAAUUUAAAAGGAAGACUGAUGAAGACUUGUUCAUUUUUACGUAUCAUGAAUGAGGAGCAGUGAUCAAGUACCAAGCAUUAGAACAAAGGUCAUAUGAGAUGUAAACUAAUAAGCUCUUAAUAAAGAUUAUUACUUAUUACAAGAUUAAAAUAACUACUAUGCAGGUUCAAAACAGAGAAGAAAGAAAUUUUAAUUAUAUAUAUAAUAUAAAAGAGAUAGUGAGCAAAUGUGGCAUCUACUAAAUGUGACUAUUGAAUGUUUAUCUCAAAGCACAAGAAUUGUUAGCUAAGCAAGCCUACAAUCAGUAGUUUAAGUAAAAGGAAAGAAACAUUCAAGUCACCUUUUGAACUUUUAAAAACAAUAUUAUAAACAAGUUAAGGUAGGUAGGAUUUAGUCAAAAUAUUAUUUUUUACAUAAGUGAGCUUUCUAAACAAAUAUAACAAUAAAAAAAAAAUUAGUCAAUGACUCAAAUUUUGCACAAGGGUAUAGCCUAAUACCGACAUUAUUUGGACAACUUUCUUAUUACUGAUUCUAACAUUUACGACACCGAAUUAAGCUAUGUAGAGAAGAAAAAAGGCCGGUGAUCACCAAAGCAAGUAAAAAUAUAUAGCAUCCUUAGCAACUGUUGAGACAUGCUGAAAUUAAAGAAGAAUAAAAGCCAAAAGUAUGGAUGUACAUUCACAGUUUUAUGUAUUCCCAAACUUAUCGAAAUUUGUUAAAAAUAUACAUGAGGCUCACGGAGAUAUCAAAUAGCAAAGUGGGCUGAUCCAUUUAUCCUAAAUGAGUAAACAUACAAAAUGAAUGAACAAAUACGGACUAUGACAUAUUUUACGCAUCCCGUAACCAAGAAAAAGUAGCACGAACUUACUUAAGGCAUGUCAAACUAAUCAAGAUCAAAAUUGUAUACCAUUUGGAACCAAACAACAAAAACAAUUCCCAUAAUUCUGGAAAAAUAAAAAAAAACACAUUCAAACUAGACCUGGACAACAUCUAAAUAAUUAGAGACAAAAUCAGAUAAACAAAAAUGAAAGAAUUAAUCAUACCACAAGACAACCAUAACAAAGUUUAAGCUAUACUAAUCCGGACAAGACUAUUGAUCUAAACUCAAAAAUAAGUGCAGGAAGAGCUAGAUCCUACAAGACUGGUCUAAUGUAAUUUAUGAGGGUCUAUAACAGUGAAUAAAAAAUAAAGAGAAGACAACCAAGACCACAAAUGACCAAUAGAGAAGCAGAACGAGUCAAAAAUUAAGCUACAAAGGGAAUAAUUUAAAGACUCAUAUUUAAACUAACACAUGCUUCCAUACAUGAGUAAUUUAAUCAAAAUAAGUUAGAACAAAAUGAAACCAAAGAAACUCCGCAGCAACAAGUUUAUCACACAACAUUUAAAACAUAAACAAAGCGCGGAAGAGGGAAGAGAUAUUACCUUUUCCGGGCAGCGAAACUGAGACAAGAACGAGCUUGGAGCGACUUCAACACAACCUUGAACUCGAGCACCAGACCAAAGAAAAGAUCGAGUCGACCUCGAACGAGAACUUCUCGUAUCCUUAAGACUAGGGAACCGUCUAAGACUUCUCAAGUGUAAAUUUAUUCCAAGAAAUCCAACCCCCAAAUCCCUUCCUUUUUUUUUUUUUUUAACAUAUGAAAAAAGAGCCACCUUUAUAGGUAAAAACUCCAGCAGAAAAUGGGGGGAAACGGAUGAAAAAAACGGGCAGAGAUCCCCCAUCCCCAAUUCAAACUUCAAAAUUUAUUCACAAACUUAGAGAGACAACAUUUUUUCAAAAUUUCGCCCCAUUCCCAAAGAGGAAAAAGGGAGAAACGCGUGCUGCUGCGACAUUAAUGUGGAUAGGGACGUCUGAAGAAGAAGCCAAAUCUGUAGUGUACGUCUCUCUGCUCCUCGCUACUUUUCGUCUGAUCGCUCUGUAUUUUUUGUUAUGAACGUUGGGGCUGCUGGGUUUGUAUUGUGAAGGAAAAGGGGAGGUGGGCCGGGUUAAAGGGGGGAAUUGUGGGUUGAGGCGGUAGGGUGAGAAAUAAAAGAAAGGAAAAGGGAAUUGGGGAAAUUACGGUCGGUCAGGUAUUGUUGUUGUUGUCAAGUUGUAUUGUAUGUAGUGUUACAUGUGGGUGGGUUUUGGUAUUAAAUUUGGGCUGGGAAUUAUGGAAUUGCUGAUGGGUUUAAAGAAGGGAUGGAUUGUUGGUAUUAUAUUCUGGGAAUGGGUAUUUGGAAUCAGAUAAAUACAAUGGGUUAUGGGAGUUGGCAAAAUGGCCUGAUUUGGUCUAAAAGAAAAGAGUUCUAUCGGAUUUAACAAUUAGCCAACUUUGAUAAACUAGUGAAUUCGACUAAAAAUUAAAUAAGACGAAUUAAUAUAAUUAACUAACGAGCUUCUUAAUCUUAACGAAAUAAAAUAAUCAACUUAAUUAUUAGUCAAUUUGAAUAACUCAAAAUUAUGACUAUAAAUACUACCAAACUAUAUUAAUAAAAUAUUCAUUUUAACAAAGUAGAAAUCUUUUGAAUAUGAUUUUUAAAUAUUAUAAAAUGUACUAAUCAUAUAUGUAAUUAUAUGAAAUAUAUUUAUCAUUCAAAAUGCUAUAAAAGUCGAUUGAAAUUAUUCAACUAACCUUGAAAUUAUUUAAAUUUUGUAAAGCUAAUUAUUCUAAAUCAUUUAGAAUUUAAGAAGCUCGAUGAUUAAUUUAUAUUGUGGAGGUCCAAAAAUUGGGUGUCAACACUUGCCUUCUUGACCAUGUAGUCUACUAGCUCAUUAGUGAGAGACACUGUGGCCAAGGUCUCGAUGCAACAUAUGUUUGUCGAUGUCUGAGGAAUGCGUCCAUCAAAAGAUGCAACAGGUUCAACAUGUACAUGCUUUAGCCUUGGCAUAUUCCAGAUGGUCAUCGGUAAAAUUGUGCCACUGCCUACUGUUAUUACAAGCAAUACCUCUAGGUUUGAAAGGUUCGAUAUCCAUAAUGGCAUAGAUACCAUAUAGCCUUUGAUUCCUAAGUACUUCAAAUGGAUCAGCUCUUUUGAUCUCUGGAAUGAACUCUCCGACAUAGUACAUUCCAUUUGUAGUACUCUUAAUAGUUUAAAGUUCUCAAGAUCAAGAAAUUCCUGGCAGCCAGAUUUCGGGGGUCUGAAGAAUGCAGAUCGAACUUGCAUGUUUCCAAUCUUCCCUGCCCAAUAAAGGCUAUGAUGAAUGCAAAGCCUCCGGUGCUCAUAAAAGGAACUAGACAAAUCAGUCUUCCCGGUGCUUGUUAGUUGCAUAAACUUCUCUUCCUUAGACUUUGUCACGCAAAAAUCAUGUAACAUAUCAUGAAUGCGGCAUGUUCUGACUCCUCCAGUGGACUUUCUCUUGCUCACCAUUAUCAAGCUUCUACCGAUGAGAUCAUUCAGUAAAAUUUUUGCAUCGAGCCCUAUGUUUGGCACCAAUCCCUCGAUAGUCCAUAACCAUGCCAAGUUUGAGAGUGGAAUUUCUUCAUCCUCCUGAAAUGAUGCAAAAUAUAGAAAGCAGGGUUUGAGAUGAUCUGGCAUGUGCUUGUAGCUCAGUUCUAUAACCUCCAUGCACUCUUUUGCACUAGUAACAGUAUCUAACUUUAUACUUUCUGCGAUUCUUCUCCAACUUUCCUCAUUUUCGCUUAUCCCAGACAAAACUCCAGCAACCAAAAUCACAAGGAGAGGUAGUCCUUUACACUUACUUGCGAUGUUUGCUCCUACUUUUGAUAGGUCAGGCGGGCAAGUUUGUUCCUUGAACAGCUUGAUUCUCAUUAGUUCCCAACUUUCAUUUUCGUCAAGGAAACGAAGGUGAAGAGGUGCUCUAUCAGGUUUAAUUUUUGAAGCCACAUCGCUGAGUCUGCUAGUUAAUAAAAUCCUGCUUCCGUUAUUAUCAUCCGGUAAGCAUCUUCUCAAGUAUUUCCAUGUCUCAACACUCCAUAUGUCAUCAAUGUAGAGAAGGUACUUCUUUCUUAACAGAAAUUUCCGCAAAGCAUCUUCUGGAUUUUUCUCAUUCUGUUGGUUAGAGCCUUUGACUUGAUUCAAAAUUCCGAGCGGCAACUUUCUUCUGUCAUAAGUUUGGGAAACACAACACAUAGCUUGGAUGUCAAAAUGACGCUGCAUUUUCUCAUCAUGAAAAACUUUCUUUGCUAGUGUAGUUUUUCCAAGACCAGGCAUCCCUACGAUAGACACAACAUCCAAGUUCUUUGGUCCUAUAGUGAGCUGUUCGAUUAGCAAGUCAGUCUCAUCCUUAAAACCCACCAUUACCUCAUCAAGUUGUGUAGUCUCAACUACUUGUCUGACAGGAUUUGGUGUUUGUUCUUCAAUAGGGCCUUCAACUUCUUGCGUAAUCGUAGCAUGGAACUCUUUCAAAUGAUCCCUUACAACCUUAGUUUCUGUUGUGAUCUUACAUAACAAAUGUAGAUACCAAACAGGAUAAUCUCCGGUAACCAGGCAAUCAAUUAUGCAUUCUGCCUGGUAUGCUAGAGAUAUGACUUCUGUCCAUAGAUCAUGUUUCUUCACCUCCUCAAACUCAUGUUUUUUCUUCUCAACUUCCUUCAAGAAGUAUCUUAAGAGAUAUAACUCUUCCCGAGCUUCUUCAAUAUGAUGCUUGACAACAGAAUCACACUUUCCGUCUUGCAGCAGCUCUUUNNNNNNNNNNNNNNNNNNNNNNNNNNNNNNNNNNNNNNNNNNNNNNNNNNNNNNNNNNNNNNNNNNNNNNNNNNNNNNNNNNNNNNNNNNNNNNNNNNNNNNNNNNNNNNNNNNNNNNNNNNNNNNNNNNNNNNNNNNNNNNNNNNNNNNNNNNNNNNNNNNNNNNNNNNNNNNNNNNNNNNNNNNNNNNNNNNNNNNNNNNNNNNNNNNNNNNNNNNNNNNNNNNNNNNNNNNNNNNNNNNNNNNNNNNNNNNNNNNNNNNNNNNNNNNNNNNNNNNNNNNNNNNNNNNNNNNNNNNNNNNNNNNNNNNNNNNNNNNNNNNNNNNNNNNNNNNNNNNNNNNNNNNNNNNNNNNNNNNNNNNNNNNNNNNNNNNNNNNNNNNNNNNNNNNNNNNNNNNNNNNNNNNNNNNNNNNNNNNNNNNNNNNNNNNNNNNNNNNNNNNNNNNNNNNNNNNNNNNNNNNNNNNNNNNNNNNNNNNNNNNNNNNNNNNNNNNNNNNNNNNNGCAUUUUCUCAUCAUGAAAAACUUUCUUUGCUAGUGUAGUUUUUCCAAGACCAGGCAUCCCUACGAUAGACACAACAUCCAAGUUCUUUGGUCCUAUAGUGAGCUGUUCGAUUAGCAAGUCAGUCUCAUCCUUAAAACCCACCAUUACCUCAUCAAGUUGUGUAGUCUCAACUACUUGUCUGACAGGAUUUGGUGUUUGUUCUUCAAUAGGGCCUUCAACUUCUUGCGUAAUCGUAGCAUGGAACUCUUUCAAAUGAUCCCUUACAACCUUAGUUUCUGUUGUGAUCUUACAUAACAAAUGUAGAUACCAAACAGGAUAAUCUCCGGUAACCAGGCAAUCAAUUAUGCAUUCUGCCUGGUAUGCUAGAGAUAUGACUUCUGUCCAUAGAUCAUGUUUCUUCACCUCCUCAAACUCAUGUUUUUUCUUCUCAACUUCCUUCAAGAAGUAUCUUAAGAGAUAUAACUCUUCCCGAGCUUCUUCAAUAUGAUGCUUGACAACAGAAUCACACUUUCCGUCUUGCAGCAGCUCUUUUAGAUAGCGUAAGAGGGAAUCGAUGAACCCCAAUCCAUUUGUCCUAGGAAAAUUACAUUUUGAUGACACUACAUCUUUCAAAAUCACAUCUUUUAGAUCUUCCAUGACAUGCUCAAUCUUUUUUAACAAGUCACUGAAUACCGAGUUAACUUCUGCUGCUUUGUCAACGGAGAAAGAGAAAGCAGCAGAUACUACCUCAGCAAUCAGACCUUCAAUGCAAGUAAGUUUGUCACUCAUUUUUUCCUGGAUAACAUAUAAAUCUUCAGGUGGAGAAAUGAGCAAAGUUAUCAAUUGCUUUGAUGCUUCGGCAAGGCUUUUGAUUUGAUCCUUUUUAAGAGGAAGCAUCAAAGAACAUGCCUCACCGUCUGAUAACUCCAACAAAUCCUUGAAGAUGAAAUGAACAAAACCUUCAACAAAUUCUAUCACAUCCCGGCUGUAUUGGAUUUGCAAUUUAACUGAACCUCUUAGAGCUCCAGUAUAGAUUUCUGCAACGUCCGGAUCAAUGGGCUUGAUAUCUUUCAAAACAUGAGAGAUUUGUAGUGUCAACACAGAUGCUGAAUCUCCAUCCAUUUCUUCCACAUAACAAAGGUAACAUAUGUAUGCAGCAUUCACUGUGAUGCCCUCUAUAUGAUUAAAAAGAAUGUUGGAUUUCUCUAGCUCCAUGCUUGCAUCUUUUAUGAAAUUGAGGAAGGUUUUUAGAUAUUUUAGACUUUCUUCAAGGACUUGAAACUCUUUCUUCAGAAGUACAAACUUGUCGAAAUCUUUCUUGUUGAUGAGAAGAUCCUUCACAUUCUGAAGGAUGUGCUCAAUGAAUUUCUGAAACACUGGGCUGCAUAAAUUUGGUAAAGGCCACCUCCCUGGAACCAAUGAAAGGAGAAACUCAUAACCUUCUUUGACUUCAGCAGAAGAUAAGUCUGCCCUUGGUCCCGAGACAGUGUCACCGACUUGCAUUCCAUGUCCGCGCAAUCUCCCCUCCUUAAUCCUUCCUUUUUGAGUUGCCCAAAACAAAAAAGUACCAAGAAAUCUCCUCUCUAUUUCAGACAUUUGUUUUCCAGCAGAAUUUCCUCAGAGUGGAUAUAUGUCGACAGCUCUGCAAGCAAAGAGAUUAAAAGCAAAUCACAUUCUAGGACAAACAAGAAAUUAACACAAAAUUCCUUUAUAUGUUGAUUGCACUCUUCCUCUUGUAUCAGAACAUUAUGCUUGAUUGUAACUAACAAACAGAUAAUAUUUAAGAAAAAGAUGUGUGUGAUCACAAAUAACAAAAACUGUUUGGUUGCACUAAAUGUUUUCUGGAAAAUGUGAAGUUAUAUCUGAAAGUCACAAUGCAUACUCUUAACUCUACACAACUAGGGGAAUGGGGAAAAAAGUCACCAGGAAAAACAAUAACAGAAAAAGAACUGGUUCCAAAGAGUUCUGAUUGUCUACUACUUACUUUUGCCUAAACUAGUUACCCUUUGUUAAUCCAAGCAAGUGAAAUUGUACUGAUACUAGGGUCAACCUUCAAUAUUUCCUAGCGAAUUGUCACGAUUUGUUUUUUUGAUGCUCAGGACAAAAUAAUGACUUCAUAUAUCAAUGCUACUUAUGUGAUUUUGAUUGUCAGGAAGUUUGCUUCAAAAUAGUUAUUACUAUAUAAAUAUUGUCUUUUUGUUUUUCUUAUUUACUAUUUCUUAAUAUUUUCAGUAUUUUAGACGAAGAAAGGUUCAUAUGACUUGUAAUAACGCUAGUUGUAAGUUUGUAUUAGUUUAAUACUUAUUAUUUAUUUAAUAGCUAAUUUUUAUGCUAUAAAUAUUUUUAUUAAUGCAAAUCUCUCUCUCUCUCUCUAAAUAUAUAUAUAUAUAUAUAUUUGGGUAGAUAUUUGUAUUUAAAUUAAUGUAUUAUAUAUGUCACGACUCACAAAUGUAUUAUCAAGUUAACAAAAUCUUCUAACUUCAAUAUAUAUUAUUUUAAAAUGUUCCGAGUUCUUUUUUUAAAAAAAAAAACUCACAACAAAUGUGAAAAUAUGUGAACAUAUAUGAAUCAUUUAAAAUUUAUCAUUUACAAAGUACAUUUUUUAUUCAGUAAUAUGGAAUAAACAUUUUCAUUUUUCCCUACACUAAAUUAAAAUCUAAUAACUAUAAAAAAAUAGUAACAUUAAUUAAAAUCCUAUUUAUUUAUGUAAGUAUAUAAUCUAUUAGAAAUUCAGCUAUUGCACAUUAAUUCUUUAGUUAUAACAUUAUAAAUUCUCUUCGUUAUUACCAAUUAUUGCAAACGUUAUUCACACUCUUUUACAUUCUUUAGUUAUAGUAUUGUGAAUUCUCAUAGUUAUUACAUUAAUUAUUUCUAUCUUUCAUCUUUCCUUAUAUUAACUGUUGACCAAUAAUUUUUUAUAUUAUUAUACAACCCCUAUAUAUGUGAUAACACGGUGUUAUUUUUCCUUGGAUGAAUUAUGCUUAGUUGAAUAAAUUGAAAAUCGUUUACAAGUAUAUGAACUAUAUCUUUGUUGGGUGUAAGAUAAACAUGUGAUUAUAUAUAUGAUUUCACAGAUAGAAUAUAUUCUUUAAUUUUAAUUUUUAGUUUUACCGGUAAAAAAAAGGAAACUUUUCUCAGUUAACUAUGGACAGUCAGAUAACUAUCUUUGAUUUAUGUACACAAUCAAUCGAGAAGUCAAAUAUGAGAACCAACAACAAGAACGUCAGCUAUUAUGCUAUAACUUAUAAAAUAAAAAUUAAUAUACAAAAAUAGUUCUAAAAAAUAAAAUUUUGUUGUUUUCUUCACAUGUUCAUAUGACAUCUAAACAGUUUAACAUGGAAUACAUGUGCAAAACACAUCUAGUUUGACAAGAAAAUACACAACAAAUAUCGUUUAUAAGGUAAUAUUAGUGAGAUACGACUAAUUACAUGAUUAAACCUCAUCAAAUUAAAAUAAAUAUAUACAUUAUUGCAUUUAACAAGUUAGUCAGAAAUAGCUCUAAGGUCACGACUCGGUAUCAUAUUAGAUCAUUGACAUCCCACAUUACCUUUUCAUUACUACUAAAUACCAACUGCCUAUAUAGAAAAUUAGUUCACAGCCCUGCUUUUCGCCAACUUCAGAAUUUUGGAAAUAGAAAGGAGAGUUGACCUUACCUUAAUCAACGGAGUAUAUAAUAUUGAUCUUGGAGAAGUGUCUACGAAAUUUACCUUUUCGUAUGGUAGGAAAGAUGGUUUUUCUAUAUAUAUGUUCAUUUUUUCUUACACAACUCCAUAGCAGCCGUUUCUCUCUCUAAUUAGAUCAUUGAAAUAUCUCAUGAUUUACGGAAGAAAGUCCUCAUUUGCUGCUACCAAUUUCACCACUUUGUCAAACAUCAGUUAAUUGGCAAAGAAAAGUCAAAUAAGACAAAGUUAAACAUUAUUCUUGUCAUUGAUUUCACUCAUGAUAUUAUUAGUAUAGAAAGCAGAAUGAGGUAUACCAGUCGUAUAAAAAAAUAGUCUGGUAAGAAAAAUAGAGCGUUAGCGAUCAUCUGUUAUCGGAACUAGCAAUAUGGAUCCUAACUCAUUAGCUCUUAAGCUAGCCAACUUGUAUAGGUGUUUCAGUACUAAUUCCCAUUUGACAGAGAAUUUAAACUUGUUUGUUGAAUUAAUCCAACAUAUUGACGCUGAAGCAAUAGUCCAUUACAUUGAUAUAUUACACCCUAUGUUCCUAAACACGUUGAAUGAUUCCCUGGUUAAUCUAGACGUGAAGAUCACUGCCCUGACGGCGAUGAGUAACUUCAUUCAACGGGUGGGGAGUUCAAAAGAUAGGGAGAGGUUUCAGGAUCUGUUGCCUGCGAUGAUGGACUUGCUGAAUGAGGCAUUGGAUAAAAAAUGUGAGGCAUCAGCGCAGUCUGAGUUCGAGAUUUUGAUCGAGUUGGCCAAGAAUGAGCCUAGCUUCUUCAGGAUGCAGCUUGUGGUUGUGGUGGGCUCCAUGUUUGAUAUAGCUGAAUGUGAGAGUUAUGAAAAGAAAACGAGACAUUUGGCGGUUGAAUUCG
rnacentral:lncRNA from 1 species